UACGAGGGGGGCGAGCGUUGUUCGGAAUUAUUGGGCGUAAAGGGUGCGUAGGCGGUUUGGUAAGUCUCGUGUGAAAUCUCCGGGCUCAACUCGGAGCCUGCACGAGAAACUGCCGGGCUUGAGUGUGGGAGAGGUGAGUGGAAUUCCUGGUGUAGCGGUGAAAUGCGUAGAUAUCAGGAGGAACGCCUGUGGCGAAAGCGGCUCACUGGACCAUAACUGACGCUGAUGCACGAAAGCUAGGGGAGCAAACAGG
rnacentral:rRNA from 1 species